rnacentral:rRNA from 4 species
GGUCUGAGAGGAUGAUCAGUCACACUGGAACUGAGACACGGUCCAGACUCCUACGGGAGGCAGCAGUGGGGAAUAUUGGACAAUGGGCGAAAGCCUGAUCCAGCCAUGCCGCGUGUGUGAAGAAGGUCUUCGGAUUGUAAAGCACUUUAAGUUGGGAGGAAGGGCAGUAAGUUAAUACCUUGCUGUUUUGACGUUACCAACAGAAUAAGCACCGGCUAACUUCGUGCCAGCAGCCGCGGUAAUACGAAGGGUGCAAGCGUUAAUCGGAAUUACUGGGCGUAAAGCGCGCGUAGGUGGUUCAGCAAGUUGGAUGUGAAAUCCCCGGGCUCAACCUGGGAACUGCAUCCAAAACUA